GAUGAACGCUAGCGGCAGGCCUAAUACAUGCAAGUCGAACGGUAGAUCGGGUAGCAAUACUUGAUUGAGAGUGACGUAAGGGUGCGUAACACGUAUGCAAUCUACCCUCAACAGGAGUAUAGCUCGGGGAAACUCGGAUUAACACUCCAUAACAUUACGAUGUGGCAUCACAUUGUGAUUAAAACUCCGGUGGUUGAGGAUGAGCAUGCGUCUGAUUAGUUAGUUGGAGGUGUAACGGACCCCCAAGACGAUGAUCAGUAGGGGAACUGAGAGGUUGAUCCCCCACACUGGCACUGAGAUACGGGCCAGACUCCUACGGGAGGCAGCAGUAGGGAAUAUUGGUCAAUGGGUGAGAGCCUGAACCAGCCAUGCCGCGUGCAGGAAGACGGCCUUCUGGGUUGUAAACUGCUUUUAUCUGGGGAUAAAAAGCCCAUGCGUGGGACAUUGAAGGUACCAGAUGAAUAACGCACCGGCUAACUACGU
rnacentral:rRNA from 1 species